UACAGAGGGUGCAAGCGUUAAUCGGAAUUACUGGGCGUAAAGCGCGCGUAGGCGGCUUUGCAAGUCGGGUGUGAAAUCCCCAGGCUCAACCUGGGAACUGCAUUCGAGACUGCAUUGCUAGAGUAUGGGAGAGGGAAGUGGAAUUUCAGGUGUAGCGGUGAAAUGCGUAGAUAUCUGAAGGAACAUCAGUGGCGAAAGCGACUUCCUGGACCAAUACUGACGCUCAUGUGCGAAAGCGUGGGGAGCAAACAGG
rnacentral:rRNA from 1 species